AGGAUGAAUUAUCAAACUUUGAUGAAGGAAUUCAAACCAGCGAUGGCUUGAGUAAAGCCUGCAUAGGAAAAUUCAGCAAUCCAUACUUUAAAGAUGGAACUGCACUGGGUCCACCAGACAAUGAAGAUACAAAAGAGAAGAAAGCUGCAGCAUUAUGGACUCCUUCAUUUACAAAACCUUCAAAGCCUUGGAAGAAAAAGGAGACAAUACUUCUAGAAGAUGGAGUUUAUAACAAUAAUUUGGAGAAGAUGUUGGCACCACUUAUGGAAAAAUUAAAGAAAAUAGAAAAAGAAAAUAAAGAAUGUGUUAAAAAUGGUAGGCCAAAACUGGAUAAAUCUAUUCGUGCAAAAGUGAUGGCUGAAAUAAAAGAAAUAAAAGAAAUUCCUCGUGCUGAACUGUUAAAAGAUUCGUCAGAUAUUGAUUUUUUCAAAAUUUCCAAA
rnacentral:lncRNA from 1 species